rnacentral:rRNA from 1 species
UACGUAGGGGGCGAGCGUUGUCCGGAAUUAUUGGGCGUAAAGCGCGCGCAGGCGGUCCUUUAAGUCUGAUGUGAAAGCCCACGGCUUAACCGUGGAGGGUCAUUGGAAACUGAGGGACUUGAGUACAGAAGAGGAGAGUGGAAUUCCACGUGUAGCGGUGAAAUGCGUAGAGAUGUGGAGGAACACCAGUGGCGAAGGCGACUCUCUGGUCUGUAACUGACGCUGAGGUGCGAAAGCGUGGGUAGCAAACAGGAUUAGAUACCCCUGUAGU